UGGGGAAUUUUGCACAAUGGGGGAAACCCUGAUGCAGCGACGCCGCGUGAUUUAGAAGGCCUUCGGGUUGUAAAAAUCUUUUCUAUGGGAAGAAAAUGACAGUACCAUAGGAAUAAGGACCGGCUAAUUACGUGCCAGCAGCCGCGGUAAUACGUAAGGUCCGAGCGUUGUCCGGAAUCAUUGGGCGUAAAGGGUACGUAGGCGGGUAAGCAAGUUAGAAGUGAAAUCCUAUAGCUCAACUAUAGUAAGCUUUUAAAACUGCUCAUCUUGAGGUAUGGAAGGGAAAGUGGAAUCCCUAGUGUAGCGGUGAAAUGCGCAGAUAUUAGGAGGAAUACCGGUGGCGAAGGCGACUUUCUGGCCAUAACCUGACGCUGAGGUACGAAAGCGUGGGUAGCAAACAGG
rnacentral:rRNA from 1 species